rnacentral:rRNA from 1 species
UACGUAGGGGGCAAGCGUUGUCCGGAUUUAUUGGGCGUAAAGAGCGUGUAGGCGGUUUUACAGGUCCGCUGUGAAAACUCGAGGCUCAACCUCGAGCUGUCGGUGGAAACCGUAUGGCUAGAGUCCGGAAGAGGAGAGUGGAAUUCCCGGUGUAGCGGUGAAAUGCGCAGAUAUCGGGAAGAACACCCAUGGCGAAGGCAGCUCUCUGGGACGGUACUGACGCUGAGACGCGAAAAGCGUGGGGGAGCGAACAGG